ACGUCUUCUGCUACACCAUUCUUUGAUUCUACUCUUUCUUACUUUGACAGAAAAAGUAUGAUUGAAUUCACCAUUCGAUUAAUGAGGCAUUCUCCAUUUAGUACUCGAAUUUAAUGUGAUCUCACAGUUCGGAAGACUUAAUGGCAUCCGGCAUAUAAUUGGGAAGGAGAUAGUUGAUCUCUACUUGGAUCAUAUUAGGAAGCUUGCCAAUAACUCUACUGGAUGUUGGGUCCGAACAAAGCAUGUGAUUAUGAAAUACAUUGACAGAAGAUGUUGUUGCACAAGUGUACAACCGGGCCAAGUUAUUUUCAAAGAUGUUGCAAUGAAAGAAGAGUACAUAAGACGCAACUCCUUGGCGUAUCUUUGUCUCGACACGCCACUUUGCAAUGCACAUACCACAACAACAGAUGUACUUUGCACUGGUCUAGGCGUCUAGCCAUGAUCACCCUCCCUCUUAAGAAAAUAGCAACUACAGUUGCUGGUUUGUUGUGUUUGACCAUAAGGGUCAGUGAGGAGAUCAUUAUGUUUAGGCACGUCGAAAUCAAUAUCCGCUUGUGUAAUUAGAAAGAAGGCUUCUUGAUUAUAAUGUAUACAAAAAUUAUGUUCGGAUUCUUUGUAGAUUUGUGCAAAUAUUCUUAUG